CUGCUGGCGCUCCAGUUUCUCUACAUUGUGCCACUGCUGGGGUGCAGCACUCCAGAUUUGUUCUGACUCUUCUUGGAAGAAGAGGAGGAGGGGGCGGAGCUCCGAUCUGGGCUACGUUCCAUUUCCAUUCACACAAACAGCGGGCGGCCGCCACACGCCGGAAGCAACAGGUUCGGGAGAGGGGCUGGAGCGGCGGCGAGGGGCAGCAGCAGACAGGAUUCAGUUUAAGUCUGAUGAACUUUUGGAAUUUCAUUACUUCAAAAGCACCGCAGUGAUGCAUUAAUCAGUCCUCUUAAUGCAACCUACCAGCAGAAUAAAGAAUACGAUCCACUAUCAAGAGUGGAUAAAGACUGCUGCUGUUUUUGAUACUUGGAGUUGGUUAGAGUGUCAGUAGUUCUAUAAUCAGUUCUUCGAUUACAGUCCCACAAUGAAAGAUUCAACACACACCUUCGUUUGUUGGUUAGUCUUGCUGGUGGUGCGUUUGACCCAGGGUCACAGUCUUUUUACCUGUGAACCUAUAACCAUCCACCGGUGUGAAGGUCUGCCAUACAACAUGACAUUUUUCCCCAAUAAAUUGGAACACUACGACCAGGACAUUGCUGCAGUUGCACUGGAGCCUUUUCUUCCACUUAUGAAUCUGCUUUGUUCACCGAAUGUGAAAAUGUUCCUGUGCAGUGCAUUUGUGCCGGCCUGUACGGAAAAACUUCAGAUUGUCCCACCUUGCAGAAAGCUUUGUGAAGAAGUUCUCCAGGACUGUGAAAAACUCAUUGAGACAUUCGGGAUUGCAUGGCCAGAGGAGCUGCAGUGUGAUCGGUUAGAAGAAUGUGUUGAUGGCCAGCAGCCUUCAGUAGCUCCAACUUCUAGAUCGAUUACAGAGAAGACUUCACAAACAGUAGUGAAGGAUUAUGGAUUUUGGUGUCCGCGGCCCUUGAAAACCCCUACUGGGCACGGCAGUUCGUUUCUUGGUGUAGAUGACUGUUUGCCUCCAUGUCCCAACAUGUACUUCAAAGAAGAUGAACUAAACUUUGCCAAAUGUUUCAUUGGAGUUGUUUCUAUCUUUUGUCUGUGUGCAACUCUCUUUACAUUCCUGACUUUCCUCAUCGAUGUUAGAAGAUUUCGGUACCCUGAACGGCCAAUCAUUUUCUAUGCGGUAUGCUAUAGCAUAGUUUCUCUAAUGUACUUAGUGGGUUUUGUUGCUGGUAAUAGCAUAGUGUGCAACAAGGCGGAUGAAAAACUGGGAACUAUGGAAACGGUUGUCAUAGGAGCACAGAACAAGGGGUGCAGCAUCCUUUUCAUGUUGUUGUACUUCUUUACCAUGGCAGGAACUGUUUGGUGGGUGAUCCUGACCAUAACCUGGUUCCUGGCAGCCGGACUUAAGUGGAGUUGUGAAGCCAUUGAACAGAAAGCAUUGUGGUACCAUUCUGUUGCCUGGGGAAUACCUGGGAUAUUCACAAUAAUGCUGCUUGCCUUAAACAAAGUUGAAGGCGACAAUAUCAGUGGUGUUUGCUUUGUUGGGCUGUAUGACUUGAAUGCUUUGCGUUAUUUUAUCUUGACGCCCUUGUGCCUCUGUGUGGUGGUGGGAUUGUCCCUUCUGUUGGCAGGAAUUAUUUCCUUGAAUCACGUGCGACAGGUGAUCCAACAUGAUGGAAGAAAUCAGGAGAAACUGAAGAAAUUUAUGAUUCGAAUUGGAGUUUUUAGCGGCCUAUACUUGGUACCUCUGGUUGGGCUUCUGGGAUGCUAUAUUUAUGAGCAAGCCUUUCGGACAACUUGGGAAACUACGUGGGUUCAUGAUUACUGUCAGGAUUAUCCCAUACCAUGCCCCAAUCAGGUAAAAACUCUGACCAGGCCUGACUUGUCUCUCUUUAUGAUGAAGUACCUGAUGACUCUAGUUGUCGGUAUACCGGCAGUUUUCUGGGUUGGCAGUAGAAAGACGUGCUCUGAAUGGGCCAAUUUUUUUCACAGCGCCCGCAAGCGAGACCCUAUUACUGAAAGUCGGAGAGUGCUGCAAGAGUCCUGUGAAUUUUUUCUAAAGCAUAAUUCUAAAGUUCAACACAAAAAGAAACACAAGUCAAGUUCCCAUAAACUCAGGGUAAUCUCUAAAUCCAUGGGGACAUCCACUACAGGCAUGGCAAAUCAUGGGACAUCAACCUUGCCUGCAACCAAUCAUGAAUCCUUCAGUCAAGGGACAUUUUCAGAAGCUAAACCUUUUCUUGAAAUCAAUGAGCAUGAUUCUUUUCUCCCCGCUAUCCCUUCUGCAUUGAACACCUCCACCGGGGAGCAAGCUUCUCUCAGUUUAUCUGGACAAGUGGUAUCUGCUGACCUGCCAGAGAAAAGGAGUAAAGGGGGAAGUGUAUCUGGAAGAAUAAGCAACCAAUCUGAAGGCUUGCAACGUGUCCCAGAUGGACGAUUAACACCAAGAGGUGACUAUGCUGAGGAACAUAUGCCACAAAGUAGCUGUGUCCUUGUGCCCCACUAUUCACGGCCCAGCAGUAGCAAGAGUCCUGCUUCUCUUCUUGUGCACGCAUUGCCGGAUUUCAGCAAAGUUGAAGAGCCUGAGGGCGAUGACUCAAAUGCCUGACCAAUGUUGGAUUGAUGCGUUUGGUGGCUUUGUGUGUCUUUCGUAUUUUGACCACAACACAUGCUUUGUGAACUUGGUAUUCAUGACACUUAAAUUUUAUUUCCAGCAUUCGCAGCAUUUUGGGCUUUUGUUACCGGAGAUCUACCUGAAAUAUUCCCUGAGCCGCAAGUCCUCAUUGUUGCCACUGGGUGGCCAAAGUAGGAACGUGGUCCUAAUUUUUUACCACAUGCAUCUGUGGAGCAUUUUAAAAUAACCAAAAAUGUAGAUUUCUUGGAGUUCUGUGCUGCUUUGAACCAAAUUAAACCAAUGUCAUUUUCCACUGGUUUUUACCUACAAGGUAAUAAGGUGUUACAUGUUAAGAGUGUGAGAUAAGCAAAACGUACAGUAUGACUGCAAUCAGAUUGCACUCCUUGUACAGAAUGGGAACAAGACAGAAACAUAAUUGAGUAUCUGUAAUGUAGAGUGGGUAUUGAUUAACUAGACACUGGCUACAGUUUUAGGGGAAUGUUUAUAAGUCAGCAGUAUUGAUUACAGUGUUAAAUGCAGAUCACCGCAAGUGCUGGCAACAGUGUGUACUGAGUGAGCUAAACAACCUAUUCUUCAAGUUCAGCAUAUUUCUUUGAAAUAGCUUACAACAAAUUUCACAUUUAGUAAUUUGUAUGAAAUUUGGUCUUUACAUUUUUAAAUAAGCACGUUAAGUAUGUCCUGAAAUGAGUUUUACUCUAAUAUUUAUUAGUGUGAGAUGACCAAAACCACCUCUUGGGACAAUUUCAAUGUGCAAUCAUUGUUCAGUUAUUUACUCUCAGUAUAACUGCAAGUCUGCUUAAAUAGUGGAAAGUUACUGGAAUGGAUAGUCAUAUGUAUUUAGAAUUUAAUUACUGAAUGUGCAUAAUUAAGUGGAUAGACUAGAGAACAGUAAACACCAAGAUUCUUCCUUUCAAAUUUACCUCUGAAAGGUGUAGCUAAAUAAUACAAAAAGUGACUGGACAAUGGGAUGUUCCUAAUUUCUUAUUUAUAGUUUUCUUCAAGUGUAUUUGAAUUUUGCUGCUAUUUUGUGUGUACCAUUUAAAACAUGUUUUCUUGAUGGUGGUGGCCUGUGCUUCAUCUGCUUUUGCACAAGUUUGCAUUUCUGUUCACCACAGUAAUCUGGCUACUAUUGAUGUGCUUUUUCAUUAUAAUAAUGUACUUAAUGUGUCAAAUUAUUUUAUAAAAGUUGCUGCAAAUUGAAAAAAAGCAAAAAAUUAUGCAUCUAUCUAAUAAACGUAGUUGCAGUAA